rfam:Trichobilharzia regenti genome assembly, scaffold: TRE_scaffold0017948
AUCCAGUUGACGUGUCCCAAACAGGACGAAAUGCGCAUCCUGGAU